GUCCUCCUAGCUUUAUCCCGCAAGUCGCGAGUGCUGAACCAGCUCGACCACCGUCCCCGCUCCCGCCCCCGCCGGAGUCUUCGCUAAGGUUCUUCGAAGUUAUAUUAAUAUCGUCCCUAACUUAAUUGAGGAUUGCUUGCUCACCAAGAACAAUGGCAACUUCUUCCCCAAGGAUUCAACAUCCAUCCAACAGCAUGAACAGUUGCCAUGCAUGCAUUUAUAUGAGCAACGCCAACAUGCUUCGCCCUCGCCACCCGAACUUACCUCCACAAGCCUUCAAGGCAAGCCGAAGAGAUGCGUCGCGAGGGCCGCCAACACUGGCUGGUGAGGACUCACAUCCUCCUCCCACCUCCUCUCCAAUCAAGACAAAAACCCAGACCGUUGCACCAGCUCCACGCGCCGCCGACCGCCGGAGUUUUCUCCAAGGUGCCUUCGAAGCCCACCAACCACUCCAAGUUCACCGGCCGCUGCGGCGGCGGCAAGCCGAUGUGCGCGGCGCGCCAUGCGAAGCCUGCGUGGAAGUCGAAGGGCAAAGCCAAAGGGAGCUCCAAGCUCAGAGAUGGGCUGGCCAUCCGCCGAGGAGCGUCCGCGACCGAGGCUGUAGGCGUCUUGAUGGACGUGAUCGAUGAAGAUGACUGGUUCGGAGGAGAUGAUGGCAUGAAACAUGAGGCGUUGGCAGGCGAGGAGACUUCACUGAACCAGACAGACUAUGCAUUAGGAGAUGGAGAUUGGUUCUUGGUAGGGGAAGAAGAACAAUGAGUGUGUCUCAUUGUUGUGGUCUUUGAGUAGACCAUGAAGAUGGAAUCAGCUGCAUUCUAUUGUGAUCAAAAUAAAGUAAAAAACAGCAAAGAAAUUAUCAGCCUUGUAUCUGAAAUCUUAUAUGUACCCAUGUUCUUGGCAUUUGACCGAGGAACAUAUUUUUCAGUAAUAUUAGUUAUUAUUAUUACAAAUGUUCCUUAUGAGUAAACUAAGGGUGGAUUAUUGAUUGUUCACAAUUCUCUCGGAACAUUUGCAGAAUUAAUUUGAUAUUUUUUUCUGAAUUCCAGAAUAAGUUAAUCCCCACCAAAAAAAACAGUAAAAGUUUUCAUGUGUA